rnacentral:rRNA from 1 species
GAUCAUGGCUCAGGAUGAACGCUAGCUACAGGCUUAACACAUGCAAGUCGCGGGGCAGCAUGAAGGAUGCUUGCAUCCUUUGAUGGCGACCGGCGCACGGGUGAGUAACGCGUAUCCAACCUGCCUGUUACCACGGCACAGCCCGUCGAAAGGCGGAUUAAUGCCGUAUGUGGUCCUUUGCGGGCAUCUAAUUAGGACUAAAGGUUCGGCGGUAACGGAUGGGGAUGCGUCAGUA